CCCUUAGAUGUUCUGGGCCGCACGCGCGCUACACUGACGAAUGCAACGAGCUUAUAACCUUGGCCGAAAGGUCUGGGUAAUCACCAAAUUUCGUCGUGAUGGGGAUAGAUUAUUGCAAUUAUUAAUCUUCAACGAGGAAUGCCUAGUAAGCGCAAGUCAUCAGCUUGCGUUGAUUACGUCCCUGCCCUUUGUACACACCGCCCGUCGCUCCUACCGAUUGAAUGGUCCGGUGAAGCGUUCGGACCGUGGCCUUUGGACGGUUCGCCGUCUGUUGGCUGCGGGAAGUUCGUUAAACCUUAUCAUUUAGAGGAAGGAGAAGUCGUAACA
rnacentral:rRNA from 1 species